rnacentral:sRNA from 1 species
AAAAUGAAAUAUUCGGACCGAAAAUAUUCGUUAUUUUUAGACCAAAAAUACUCAAAAACCAAAAAAAAAGCCAUUAGUGAAGUCCGAUAAACA